rnacentral:rRNA from 1 species
AGGAAUAUUGGUCAAUGGGCGCAAGCCUGAACCAGCCAAGUAGCGUGAGGGAAGACUGCCCUAUGGGUUGUAAACCUCUUUUGUGCGGGGAUAAAGUGUGGGACGUGUCCCAUAUUGCAGGUACCGCACGAAUAAGGACCGGCUAAUUCCGUGCCAGCAGCCGCGGUAAUACGGAAGGUCCGGGCGUUAUCCGGAUUUAUUGGGUUUAAAGGGAGCGCAGGCCGUCCUUUAAGCGUGCUGUGAAAUGCCGCGGCUCAACCGUGGCACUGCAGCGCGAACUGGAGGACUUGAGUACGCACGAGGUAGGCGGAAUUCGUGGUGUAGCGGUGAAAUGCUUAGAUAUCACGAAGAACUCCGAUUGCGAAGGCAGCUUACCGGAGCGCAACUGACGCUGAGGCUCGAAAGCGCGGGUAUCGAACAGGAUUAGAUACCCUGGUAGUCCGCGCGGUAAACGAUGGAUGCCCGCCGUUGGGUUUUAGAAUUCAGCGGCCAAGCGAAAGCGUUAAGCAUCCCACCUGGGGAGUACGCCGGCAACGGUGAAACUCAAAGGAAUUGACGGGGGCCCGCACAAGCGGAGGAACAUGUGGUUUAAUUCGAUGAUACGCGAGGAACCUUACCCGGGCUUGAAUUGCAGGAGAACGAUCCAGAGAUGGCGAGGCCCUUCGGGGCUCCUGUGAAGGUGCUGCAUGGUUGUCGUCAGCUCGUGCCGUGAGGUGUCGGCUCAAGUGCCAUAACGAGCGCAACCCCUGUCCAUAGUUGCCAUCAGGUCGUGCUGGGCACUCUGUGGAGACUGCCGCCGUAAGGUGUGAGGAAGGUGGGGAUGACGUCAAAUCAGCACGGCCCUUACGUCCGGGGCUACACACGUGUUACAAUGGGGCAUACAGCGAGUUGGAUGUGCGCAAGUACGUCCGGAUCAAUAAAGUGCCUCUCAGUUCGGACUGGGGUCUGCAACCCGACCCCACGAAGCUGGAUUCGCUAGUAAUCGCGCAUCAGCCAUGGCGCGGUGAAUACGUUCCCG